AGUAAAUCUCUAGUGCUUGGGGCUCUGUAAGACCAGGCUCAGCCCCAUGUAAUGCCAAGGAGGAGAUGAUUUCCAGGCUGGGACGGAGAAGAAUUGGCCCUAAUGCACACAACCACUGGCUUGGAGCUCUGUUAGCCCAUGCACAUGAAGGGGCAGCGCAGCCGCCGGGGGCUCCGGAGGAUCCGCGGGUGUUCGUCUUUUAGCCCGUCAGUUCUCGAACGUGGCCUGGAGUGCCUCUGAGACGUCACAGAUGACCGCAGGAGGUGGCUUGCACCUUCUGUGGCCAGGAGCUGAAGCAACAAGCAGUGCCUUGCUCAGGAUGUACUGUGAUAGCAUCAGACCUCAUUUUGGAAAAGAGCCCCUUUGAUGACUCCCUGGAGUUCCCUCACUUGAUAUCAGUGUCCGUGCCAUGCUAUGUGCUGUGCCAUGCCACAAAGCCUUGUGAACACCAGUGUGUUUUGCAGCACUGCUCCAUCACCUCUGACACAGGUGAGGUGCUCCAUCACCUCUGACGUACUGUGGUGGCUCCUGCUCAGGGCAGUCCCUUCCCCUCCUUUAGCCCUCCCCACAGCUGUGGCCUCGUGCAGGAAGCAGCACCAGCUGCAGCUCUCGCAUGUGCACAGUGUUGGCCUUUUCUCGGGGCUUACUGAGAAGAUAAAUAUGUGGAUGACAACGCUGCUAAAAUAUGCAUCUUCGGGGGGAGUUAUCGAGCUGCGAUUUCCUAGGAGAAGCACGAGGAGAUAUUUUUCCCUCCUUUCCUGAUGCUACUGUCGUCCUAUUGUGUCUGGACACGGCUUUGGAAGAGGGCUGUGCACUGUGGGGCUUGGGGCAGCGUGGGAUCUAAUCCUGCAGGAUGGGGGGACCUGCUCUAUUCCAUUCUGGUUCCCCCACCCACUGCCUGUUGUGUGCUAUUGCAAUGGCAGUGGCUGCUCCUUCACACAUCUGUGUGUAUGCCAUCACCAGAGAGCUGGGGGCACACCACGGGGCACAGGGUGCAUGGUGCUCUGAUGCCAGCAGCUGCCACGCUGUGUGCCAGCAGCCUGGUGCUGGAGCUCUGCAACAGGGCUUUGUUUUGGAGGGGAGGCUGGAAAAGCACUCAGCACGCUGUGACACCCUCUGUGACAUUCUCGUAUCAAGUUGUUUCAAUUUUUAAUUUGCAAACAGCUUGUAUUUCAAUAUUUUCAUUAUUUAUCAUAUUGCAUUGUGUUUUGCAUCACAACUGUUGUCUUCCAUAUUAUUUUUACACGAUAGAUCAUUUUGCUGGAAGUCAAAAUAAACUCCAAGCGCUUUUGUCAAGCCCCAACCAUUUUAGCUAAGCUGCAGCGAUGUUUUCCAGCGUAUUCCUUCACAGGCGCUUUGCAGUGUUUGUUUCUCCUCUUCCAAAUGGUUUUGUGAAAUGUGAAGUUCAUGGAAUGGACCCUAUAUGGGCUCCCAGCUGCUGUGAUGCUGCCUGGCUCUGUGUGGGGGGAGAGCAGCCCCUGAACCUGAGGAGCCCCGCCUGUGGGUGUAGGCACUGACAAAGGAGCAAGGAAACACAUCUGGUAGAAAUUAUUUAGCAACAUUUCCAAACUUGGUCAUCUUCUUUCUUGCGCUAGUGCAGGUUGCCAAGCUGUGGG